UACGGAGGAUGCAAGCGUUAUCCGGAUUCAUUGGGUUUAAAGGGUGCGUAGGCGGGGCGGUAAGUCAGUGGUGAAAGCCUGCAGCUUAACUGUAGAAUUGCCAUUGAUACUGUCGCUCUUGAAUGCGGUUGAGGCAGGCGGAAUGUGUAAUGUAGCGGUGAAAUGCUUAGAUAUUACACAGAACACCGAUUGCGUAGGCAGCUUGCUAAACCGUGAUUGACGAUGAGGCACGAAAGCGUGGGGAGCAAACAGG
rnacentral:rRNA from 1 species